rnacentral:lncRNA from 1 species
ACAAGGCCUAACAUGGAGAGCUGGGGUGGACUCUGCACUGCCCACCUCCAUAGCCCUAGAGACAUGCUCUGGAGAAGAUCAUGAUCAGCGAGGAUGAGUGGAUGAAAGUUCUGCCUGUUUCCAGCAUCACAGGUAGCUGUACCUUGAGGAUGACCUGGAUCGAGAGGAAUGGAUGAAGAAUGACUUGUUGGCAAACACUACUUUCUUGGCCUUAGGGGCUUAGGUCUGUUUUGCUUUCCAAAUAUUCUUUUUAAUUUGCUUUGUUGCACUUUAAUAAUUCCUGUCUUGUCC